rnacentral:rRNA from 1 species
GGGUAGGGGAGCGUUGUGUAAGUGGCUGAAGGUGUGCCGGGAGGCAUGCUGGACAUAUCACAAGUGCGAAUGCUGACAUGAGUAACGACAAUGCGGGUGAAAAACCCGCACGCCGGAAGACCAAGGGUUCCUAUCCCAUGUUAAUCAGGGUAGGGUGAGUCGACCCCUAAGGCGAGGCCGAAAGGCGUAGUCGAUGGGAAACGGGUUAAUAUUCCCGUACUUGGUAUAAAUGCGAUGGGGGGACGGAGAAGGCUAGACAGGCACGGCGUUGGUUGUCCGUGUGAAAGUAUGUAGGCUUGAAUCUUAGGAAAAUCCGGGAUUCUUUAAGGCUGAGGAUACGAGACGACACUCUACGGAGUGGAAGCUGUUGGUGCCAUACUUCCAGGAAAAGCCUCUAAGCUUCAGUUUAUACCGAAUCGUACCCCAAACCGACACAGGUGGUCAGGUAGAGAAUACUAAGGCGCUUGAGAGAACUCGGGUGAAGGAACUAGGCAAAAUAGUACCGUAACUUCGGGAGAAGGUACGCUCCUACCUGUGAUGAGACUUGCUCUCUAAGCGGACGGGAGUCGCAGUGACCAGGUGGCUGGGACUGUUUAUUAAAAACACAGCACUCUGCUAAAUCGCGAGAUGACGUAUAGGGUGUGACACCUGCCCGGUGCCGGAAGGUUAAUUGAUGGGGUUAGCGUAUGCGAAGCUCUUGAUCGAAGCCCCGGUAAACGGCGGCCGUAACUAUAACGGUCCUAAGGUAGCGAAAUUCCUUGUCGGGUAAGUUCCGACCUGCACGAAUGGUGUAACCAUGGCCACGCUGUCUCCACCCGAGACUCAGUGAAAUUGAAAUCGCAGUGAAGAUGCUGUGUACCCGCGGCUAGACGGAAAGACCCCGUGAACCUUUACUACAGCUUGGCACUGAACAUUGAGCCUACAUGUGUAGGAUAGGUGGGAGGCUUUGAAGCAGAGACGCCAGUUUCUGUGGAGCCAUCCUUGAAAUACCACCCUUGUAUGUUUGAUGUUCUAACGUUGGCCCCUGAAUCGGGGUUGCGGACAGUGCCUGGUGGGUAGUUUGACUGGGGCGGUCUCCUCCCAAAGAGUAACGGAGGAGCACGAAGGUUGGCUAAGUACGGUCGGACAUCGUACGGUUAGUGUAAUGGUAGAAGCCAGCUUAACUGCGAGACAGACACGUCGAGCAGGUACGAAAGUAGGUCAUAGUGAUCCGGUGGUUCUGAAUGGAAGGGCCAUCGCUCAACGGAUAAAAGGUACUCCGGGGAUAACAGGCUGAUACCGCCCAAGAGUUCAUAUCGACGGCGGUGUUUGGCACCUCGAUGUCGGCUCAUCACAUCCUGGGGCUGAAGUCGGUCCCAAGGGUAUGGCUGUUCGCCAUUUAAAGUGGUACGCGAGCUGGGUUUAGAACGUCGUGAGACAGUUCGGUCCCUAUCUGCCGUGGGCGUUUGAGAAUUGAGAGGGGCUGCUCCUAGUACGAGAGGACCGGAGUGGACGAACCGCUGGUGUUCGGGUUGUGAUGCCAAUUGCAUUGCCCGGUAGCUACGUUCGGAAUCGAUAACCGCUGAAAGCAUCUAAGCGGGAAGCGAGCCUCGAGAUGAGUUCUCACUUGG